rnacentral:pre_miRNA from 1 species
CAUCUACUCCCUCCGUUCCGCAUUACUUGUCGCAGGUAUGGAUGUAUCUACAUGUAUUUUAAUUCUAGAUACAUCUUUUUCUGCGACGAGUAAUGUAGAACGGAGUAGAGUACUCU